GGCGAAGGACGAGCAGAGACGAGGCGGGAAGUGAAAGGAAAAAAGAGGCUGUCUAAGUAGCUUAAGUGUUUUUUGUCUUCAUCUGUAGGGGAUCAAAGCUGGCUGCUGUUUCGAGAGCUGACUCCCUCCUAAGGAGGAUUAGUAGGAAGCAAAUUUGGCCAGGACAGAGCUGAGGAGGAAGACGAGGAGGAGGAAGGUUCCCAUGCCAGCACAGGUUUGUUGCUGCCUGAGCAGGACGACCAACAUGUUCUGAGCUGCUUCACUCCUUCUUCUACACAAACACGUCACACUGUCAUCACUCCAUCCUUCAAAUACCUCGGGGCCUCCAGUCGGGCCCCUCAGGAGCAGGAACAGAAACCACACUUUCCUGGAUGGACUGAGGUAAAUCUGCAGCGUUACAGACCUCAGAUUGUGACAUCAGGUUCAUUUUACAGCCUGUAAGGAAGUUCUCUCUCACACGGCUGCUUUUUCUUCUUCUCUGCUGUAAUUGAAGCUCUCAUAAUGGAUCUAACAGCCUCUCCAGAUGUGCUCUCCUGCCUGAAGGUGGUCCUGUGGUUCUCUGCCAGGUGAGACUCACCUGGAGGUCCCUGACAUGCCUCCUAAUUACCUCCAGCUUUCAUCUACCUGCAGCUUCUGAUUCUCACACAGAAGAGUUGGUCUGAGCUUCACAUGUAGAGUUCAGCUGCGGAAACUUUCACUCCUCUGACCUGGAACUAGUGGAAUUAAAGACCAGAGAAAUAAUUUAUCCUCAGGUUGAUCAAAAACUGAAGAACUUCCAGAAAAAUGAGCCGUUCCCAGAUGGUUCUUGGUAGGUUCUUAGGGAAGUUCCUUGAUGGUUCCUGGUACAUUCCUGGGUAGUUCCUUGAGGAUUCGUUCAAAGUUCUUGAAAUGUUCCUGAUGGACUGACCUUCAUGAUGGACUUCUUGUAGGUUCCUGAGUAGUUCCUAGAUGGUUCCUUGAGGAUACAUUCAAAGUUCUUGCAGUUUUCUGGACCAACUGACCUUCAGUUCUUAUAAUAAUGGACUGUUGUUUCUCUUAGCUGACUGGUUCUUGCCAUAAUAUGGAUUCUAACGGUUGUCAAAUAGGGCUGUUAACUGUGGACCAACCUGACUUCUGAUGGACCAACCCCAUUAACCCUUACAAGGCCAUGUUUCUGGAGAAGUACAUAUACUAAAACAUAUACUCAAACCACCUAAUCCAUAAAAAUAUCGAUCAAGUUUUGCGAGGUCGCAUUGUCGUAGACGUUCGCCAUAUUGAAUUUCGGCCGGUACGCGGCCCCGAUAAGAGCUUCGUAAUUACGGUGUGAACGAGUAUACCUGGUCCCGGCUUUUUAAGGGUUAAGAAGGACAAAAUCCCACUAAUGAACCUCGACAAGGAACACCUGUGAAGUGAAACCAUUUCAGGUUCUUCCUCAUGAAGCUCAUCCAGAGAAUGCAAAGUGUGUUUAAAGCAGGAAUCAAAGCAAAGAAUCUAAAAUAUAAAACAUGUUUUGACUUAUUCCACUCUUUUUGUUUUCUACAUAAUUCCAUCUGUGUAUAUUCAUAGUUUUGAUGUCUUCAGUGAGAAUCGUUAAUGUAAAUAUUCAUAAAAAAUAAAGAAAAACCAUUAAAUGAGAAGGUGUGUCCAGACUUUGGACUGGUAGUGUAGAUUUCUUGUGCUGUGGGAUGAAUAAAUGGCUGAAUGAAUAAA